rnacentral:rRNA from 1 species
CCUUACGGGGGGCAGCAGUGGGGAAUAUUGGACAAUGGGGGCAACCCUGAUCCAGCCAUGCCGCGUGUGUGAAGAAGGCCCUCGGGUUGUAAAGCACUUUCAGUGAGGAAGAACGCCUGGUGGUUAAUACCCAUCAGGAAAGACAUCACUCACAGAAGAAGCACCGGCUAACUCCGUGCCAGCAGCCGCGGUAAUACGGAGGGUGCGAGCGUUAAUCGGAAUUACUGGGCGUAAAGCGCGCGUAGGUGGCUUGAUAAGCCGGUUGUGAAAGCCCCGGGCUCAACCUGGGAACGGCAUCCGGAACUGUCAAGCUAGAGUGCAGGAGAGGAAGGUAGAAUUCCCGGUGUAGCGGUGAAAUGCGUAGAGAUCGGGAGGAAUACCAGUGGCGAAGGCGGCCUUCUGGACUGACACUGACACUGAGGUGCGAAAGCGUGGGUAGCAAACAGGAUUAGAUACCCCUGUAGUC